AACGAACGCUAGCGGGAUGCUUCAAACAUGCAAGUCGAACGCGAAAGCUCUUCGGAGUGAGUAGAGUGGCGCACGGGUGAGUAACACGUAGCUAACCUACCCAUUUGCUGGGGACAACUCCGGGAAACCGGAGCUAAUACCGAAUAGUCUAAUUUUUUCUGCGGAUUAAAUUGGCAAAGCCUUCGGGCGCGAAUGGAUGGGGCUGCGUAGCAUUAGCUUGAUGGUGGGGUAACGGCCUACCAUGGCGACGAUGCUUAGCUGGUCUGAGAGGAUGAUCAGCCACACUGGAACUGAAACACGGUCCAGACUCCCACGGGAGGCAGCAGUUGGGAAUAUUGGACAAUGGGGGAAACCCUGAUCCAGCAAUCCCGCGUGAAGGAUGAAGGUCUUCGGAUCGUAAACUUCUUUCGGCAGGGAAGAACACAAUGACGGUACCUGCAGAAGAAGCACCGGCUAACUACG
rnacentral:rRNA from 1 species